GGUUAAGCGACUAAGCGUACACGGUGGAUGCCCUGGCAGUCAGAGGCGAUGAAGGACGUGCUAAUCUGCGAAAAGCGUCGGUAAGGUGAUAUGAACCGUUAUAACCGGCGAUGUCCGAAUGGGGAAACCCAGUGCAAUUCGUUGCACUAUCGUUAACUGAAUACAUAGGUUAACGAGGCGAACCGGGGAACUGAAACAUCUAAGUACCCCGAGGAAAAGAAAUCAACCGAGAUUCCCCCAGUAGCGGCGAGCGAACGGGGAGCAGCCCAGAGUCUGAAUCAGCUUGUGUGUUAGUGGAACGGUCUGGAAAGUCCGACGGUACAGGGUGAUAGUCCCGUACACCAAAAUGCACAGGCUGUGAACUCGAAGAGUAGGGCGGGACACGUGGUAUCCUGUCUGAAUAUGGGGGGACCAUCCUCCAAGGCUAAAUACUCCUGACUGACCGAUAGUGAACCAGUACCGUGAGGGAAAGGCGAAAAGAACCCCGGCGAGGGGAGUGAAAAAGAACCUGAAACCGUGUACGUACAAGCAGUGGGAGCACCUUCGGGUGUGACUGCGUACCUUUUGUAUAAUGGGUCAGCGACUUAUAUUCUGUAGCAAGGUUAACCGUAUAGGGGAGCCGCAGGGAAACCGAGUCUUAACUGGGCGUUAAGUUGCAGGGUAUAGACCCGAAACCCGGUGAUCUAGCCAUGGGCAGGUUGAAGGUUGGGUAACACUAACUGGAGGACCGAACCGACUAAUGUUGAAAAAUUAGCGGAUGACUUGUGGCUGGGGGUGAAAGGCCAAUCAAACCGGGAGAUAGCUGGUUCUCCCCGAAAGCUAUUUAGGUAGCGCCUCGUGAAUUCAUCUUCGGGGGUAGAGCACUGUUUCGGCUAGGGGGUCAUCCCGACUUACCAACCCGAUGCAAACUACGAAUACCGAAGAAUGUUAUCACGGGAGACACACGGCGGGUGCUAACGUCCGUCGUGAAGAGGGAAACAACCCAGACCGCCAGCUAAGGUCCCAAAGUCAUGGUUAAGUGGGAAACGAUGUGGGAAGGCACAGACAGCCAGGAUGUUGGCUUAGAAGCAGCCAUCAUUUAAAGAAAGCGUAAUAGCUCACUGGUCGAGUCGGCCUGCGCGGAAGAUGUAACGGGGCUAAACCAUGCACCGAAGCUGCGGCAGCGACACUAUGUGUUGUUGGGUAGGGGAGCGUUCUGUAAGCCUGCGAAGGUGACCUGUGAGGGUUGCUGGAGGUAUCAGAAGUGCGAAUGCUGACAUAAGUAACGAUAAAGCGGGUGAAAAGCCCGCUCGCCGGAAGACCAAGGGUUCCUGUCCAACGUUAAUCGGGGCAGGGUGAGUCGACCCCUAAGGCGAGGCCGAAAGGCGUAGUCGAUGGGAAACAGGUUAAUAUUCCUGUACUUGGUGUUACUGCGAAGGGGGACGGAGAAGGCUAUGUUAGCCGGGCGACGGUUGUCCCGGUUUAAGCAUGUAGGCUGAUUGUCCAGGCAAAUCCGGAUAAUCAAGGCUGAGGUGUGAUGACGAGGCACUACGGUGCUGAAGUAACAAAUGCCCUGCUUCCAGGAAAAGCCUCUAAGCAUCAGGUAACAUUAAAUCGUACCCCAAACCGACACAGGUGGUCAGGUAGAGAAUACCAAGGCGCUUGAGAGAACUCGGGUGAAGGAACUAGGCAAAAUGGUGCCGUAACUUCGGGAGAAGGCACGCUGGUGUGUAGGUGAAGUCCCUGCGGAUGGAGCUGAGACCAGUCGAAGAUACCAGCUGGCUGCAACUGUUUAUUAAAAACACAGCACUGUGCAAACACGAAAGUGGACGUAUACGGUGUGACGCCUGCCCGGUGCCGGAAGGUUAAUUGAUGGGGUUAUCCGUAAGGAGAAGCUCUUGAUCGAAGCCCCGGUAAACGGCGGCCGUAACUAUAACGGUCCUAAGGUAGCGAAAUUCCUUGUCGGGUAAGUUCCGACCUGCACGAAUGGCGUAAUGAUGGCCAGGCUGUCUCCACCCGAGACUCAGUGAAAUUGAACUCGCUGUGAAGAUGCAGUGUACCCGCGGCAAGACGGAAAGACCCCGUGAACCUUUACUAUAGCUUGACACUGAACAUUGAGCCUUGAUGUGUAGGAUAGGUGGGAGGCUUUGAAGCGUGGACGCCAGUCUGCGUGGAGCCAACCUUGAAAUACCACCCUUUAAUGUUUGAUGUUCUAACGUUGGCCCCUGACCGGGGUUGCGGACAGUGUCUGGUGGGUAGUUUGACUGGGGCGGUCUCCUCCCAAAGCGUAACGGAGGAGCACGAAGGUUAGCUAAUCCUGGUCGGACAUCAGGAGGUUAGUGCAAUGGCAUAAGCUAGCUUGACUGCGAGCGUGACGGCGCGAGCAGGUGCGAAAGCAGGUCAUAGUGAUCCGGUGGUUCUGAAUGGAAGGGCCAUCGCUCAACGGAUAAAAGGUACUCCGGGGAUAACAGGCUGAUACCGCCCAAGAGUUCAUAUCGACGGCGGUGUUUGGCACCUCGAUGUCGGCUCAUCACAUCCUGGGGCUGAAGUAGGUCCCAAGGGUAUGGCUGUUCGCCAUUUAAAGUGGUACGCGAGCUGGGUUUAGAACGUCGUGAGACAGUUCGGUCCCUAUCUGCCGUGGGCGCUGGAGAAUUGAGGGGGCUGCUCCUAGUACGAGAGGACCGGAGUGGACGCAUCACUGGUGUUCGGGUUGUCAUGCCAAUGGCACUGCCCGGUAGCUAAAUGCGGAAGAGAUAAGUGCUGAAAGCAUCUAAGCACGAAACUUGCCCCGAGAUGAGUUCUCCCUGAGACUUUAAGUCUCCUGAAGGAACGUUGAAGACGACGACGUUGAUAGGCCGGGUGUGUAAGCGCAGCGAUGCGUUGAGCUAACCGGUACUAAUGAACCGUGAGGCUUAACCUU
rnacentral:rRNA from 1 species